rnacentral:lncRNA from 1 species
GUGACGUUUACCAAAAUGCAAGAUGCUAAUUAAUGAAGGUCUUAAAUUACUUGUUUGGCUCCUUGGUGUGCCUGACUGGUCUGAACAAUACUUCGUUGUAUGGAUAUACUUUAUUUUUGUGAAAAUAGAAGUUCCUCAAGAAAUUAAAAGUAGAACUACCAUAUGAUUCAGCAAUUUCUCUGUGAGCAUAAACCCAAGGGAAAUGAAAUCAAUAUCUUGUAAAGAUAUCUGUAGCAUUAUUCACAAUAGCUAAGAUAUGCAAACAACCCGUGUCUAUUGAUGAAUACAUCAACAAAAAAAGUGUUGUUUAUGUAAAAACAAAAAAAAUUUAAAAUAAAAUAAAAUGCCUAUCCAUGCUUUUUGCCCAUUUUCCCUCUAUAGUGUAUCUUUUUCUAGUUGAUUACUUUAGGAGUUCCUUAUAUAUUCUGGAUUCUUCUAAUCCUUUUAAUUUACAUGUGUUGCUAAUACUUUCUUCCAGUUUGUGACAUGUCUUUGCUUGCUUUUUUGAAGGAGUCCUUUGAUGCACAGAGUUCUUAAUUUUAGUGUAGUUAAAACAUAUUAAUCUUUUCUUUUUUUGAGGCAAGGCUUCACUUUGUCACCUAGACUGGAAUGCAGAGUCGCAAUUACAGCUCACUGCAGCCUUGAACUCGUGGGCUCCAACAGUCCUCUCACCUCUGCCUUCCUAGUAGCUGAGACUACAGGUGCACACCACUACAUGCAGCUAAGUUUUUUUUUUAAUCGUUUUGUAGAGACGCGGUCUCACCAUGUUGCCCAGGCUGGUCUCAAACUUGAGGGCUCAAGCGAUCCUCUCACCUUGGCCUCCCAAAAUCCUGGAAUUUCAGGCUUGAGCCACCGUUCACAGGCCAACAGUAUUUAUCUUUUGUUUAUAAUUAGUGAUUUUUGUGUCUUGAGAAGUACAUCCCACCUGGCGCAGUAGCUGAUGCCUGUAAUCCCAACACUCUGGGAGGCCGAAGCAGGGGGAUUGCUUGAGCCCAGGAGUUCAAGACCAGCCUGGGCAGCAUGGCAAGACCCCAUCUCUACAAAAAGUACAAAAAUUAGCUAGGUGUGGUGGCACAUGACUGUAGUCUCAGCUGCUCUGGAGGCUGAGGUGGGAGGAUCGCUUGAGCUUGGGUGGUUGAAGCUACACUGAGCCAUGAUUGCGCUACUGCACUCCAGCCUAUGUGACAGAGCAAGACCUUGUCUCCAAAAAUAAAAAAAGAAAAAAGAAAUACUUUACAAUCCAAAGGUCCUAAAGGUAGUCUGCUAUAUUUCCUUCACAUGUCUUGUCUUUUGCAAUUUUAAAAAUUGAGAUAGCAAUCACAUACGUUAAAUUCACCCUUUUAAAGUGUAAAAUUUAGUGAUUUUUGGUAUAUUCAAAGUUCUGCAACUAUUACCACUAAUUCCAGAACAUUUACAUCACCCCUUGCCAAAAUAACCCUCACACCCAUUAGCAAUCACUCCGCAUUCUGAAUGUACCCCCACAGCCCUUGACAACCACUAAUCUAAACUAUCUCCAUAAAUCUGUCUAUUAUAGACAUUCAUAUACCUGGAAUGAUACAAUAUGUGGUCUCUUGUGACUGGCUUCUUCAGUUAGCUUCUUUCACUUAUGUUCUCAAGGUUCAUCUAUAUUACAGCGUGUAUGGUAUCAGUACUUCAUUCUUUUUCAUGGCUGAACAAUACUUCAUUGUAUGGAUAUACUUUACGUUUUGUUUAUAUACACAUCAGUUGAUAGACAUUGUUAAAAUAAAAAUAAAAAUGGGCGAGGUGUGGUGGCUCACACCUGUAAUCUCAGCAGUUUGGGAGGCUGAGGCAGGAGAAUCACUUGAUCCCAGGAGUUGGAGACCAGCCUGAGCAACAUGGCGAAACCCUGUCUCUACCAAAAAUUUAAAAAUUAGCAAGGCAUGGUGGCAUGUGCCUGUAGUCCCAGCUACUCGGGAGGCAGAGGUGGGAGGAUUGCGUGAGCCCCAGGAGGUCAAGGUUGCAGUGAGCCGUGAUCACAUCACUGCACUCCAGCCUGGGUAACACAGUGAGACCCUGUCUCAAUAAAUAAAUAAAAAUAGAGCCACAGUUUAGAUUUCUCAAGGCCAAACUGCCCAUAGCAAUGUAACUAAGACUUAAUCCAUCCUGAUUUCCCCUAACCCUAAAGAUAAACAAAACAUAAAAGUAAGCUUUUUGUCUUUAUCAAUAUGAUUUCAUGAAAUUAAACGAAUCAGCUAUUGAUAAAUCAGCUUAAAUAGCUCAACAUGUCUUUAAAAAAAUGACAGCCAGUCAUGAAAAAAGUUACAAUGUUGCUUCCUGUAUGCUCUAUAAACUGCUGUAAUUGCUAUAAAAUGAGACCUGGCUGGGCUAGGUGGUUCAUGCUUGUAAUCUCAGCAAUUUUGGAGGCCAAAACAAGAAUAUUACUUGAGGCCAGGAGUUCAAGACUAGCCUGGGCCACAUAGCAAGACCCUGUUUCUAUUUAUAUAAAUUAAAAAACAUAAUUUUUUUAAAUUGAGACUUCAUGCUGUUUUCCAAUUUGAGGUCUUUCCAGUUUGCAAACUGUUUCGUAUGCACAAUGAACUCUUAAAGUUAUAACUUGAUUUAAUUUUGACAUUUGUGUUGUUUCCACUUUUUGGAUCAUGAAUAAUGCUGCCAUGAACAUUCAUGUACAAGCUUGAGUGUGGACAUGUUUUCAUUUCUCUUCUGUGAAUAUCUAGGAGUAGAAUUGCUAUUUAUAGGUUACAUGGUAAUACUAUGUUUAACUUUUUGAGGAACUGCCAGAAUAUUUUCAAAAGGGGCUCCAACAACAUUACAUUUGUACUAGCGCAGCGUAUGAAGUUUCUGGUUUCUUCACAUCCUUACCAACAGUGGUUACUGCCUGUCUUUUUGUACAGCC